rnacentral:tRNA from 1 species
GGAUGUAGCUCAGUUGGCUGAGUGCUUACCUCGAAUGCACAAGGCCCUGGGUUCAAUCCCCAGCACCA